CCUAGGCCUUCAGUGUGGAACAACGUCUGGAAACGGGCGCAAUACCGCAUGACGCAGUGGAAUCGCAUGGUUCUGCUGUCAAAGGAGCAAUCCGCUGAAGGAUGGGCUCGCGUCCGAUUAGCUAGAUGGUGAGGUAACGGCUCACCAUGGCGAUGAUCGGUAGCCGAACUGAGAGGUUGAUCGGCCGCAUUGGGACUGAGACACGGCCCAG
rnacentral:rRNA from 1 species